UGGUUCUCCAGUAUUAAUAUAUAGAAAAACGUCAAAGUUUUGGAGUGUUUGUUAAAAUACAGAUUCCUGGGUCUCACCCCCAGAAGUCCUGGGUUAGCAGGUCUGGGGAGCAGCCCGGGAGUCUGCCCUGUUAACUGGGACACCGGGUGAAUCUGAUGCUCACGGUCGGAGGGGACGCGACCUGGGAGAUACCCACAUAACCCUGAUCUGCCGACUCGUUUACCUGAGUGCCUAACUCCCGGGUUAGACCGUGGCUGGUUCUUCUUCCCUUCUAUCUCCAAACUCUCUCCCACCUCCCAUCUCUGUCUCAGAAGAGAGAGAGAAUGUUAAACACGGACUUCCUGAGCACCAGCCCUAGAUUCAUGGCCAAACAUCAUCCCUGGUGGCUCAAGAAUCACCUCCAACACAUUAUUUCUUUUAGAAAAUGCCUUCCAGUUCUCACAUGGGAUUCCAGUCUCUUUUUCCGGAGCAAAGGCUGCAGGGGCUCCUGGGUCUCCCCACAGUUCCGAGAUGACAGAAGUCCAUCUGCUAUUCCCAGUACCUG
rnacentral:lncRNA from 1 species